AUACGUAGGGGGCAAGCGUUGUCCGGAAUGACUGGGCGUAAAGGGCGUGUAGGCGGCUUUUUAAGUCUGGAGUGAAAGUCCUGCUUUCAAGGUGGGAAUUGCUUUGGAAACUGGAGAGCUUGAGUGCGGAAGAGGCAAGUGGAAUUCCCAGUGUAGCGGUGAAAUGCGUAGAGAUUGGGAGGAACACCAGUGGCGAAGGCGACUUGCUGGGCCGUAACUGACGCUGAUGCGCGAAAGCGUGGGGAGCGAACAGGAUUAGAUACCCUGGUAGUCCACGCUGUAAACGAUGAAUGCUAGGUGUAGGGGGUAUCGACCCCUCCUGUGCCGGAGUAAACACAAUAAGCAUUCCGCCUGGGGAGUACGGCCGCAAGGUUGAAACUCAAAUGAAUUGACGGGG
rnacentral:rRNA from 1 species